rnacentral:rRNA from 1 species
GUACACAAAAAUGCACAUGCUGUGAGCUCGAUGAGUAGGGCGGGACACGUGGUAUCCUGUCUGAAUAUGGGGGGACCAUCCUCCAAGGCUAAAUACUCCUGACUGACCGAUAGUGAACCAGUACCGUGAGGGAAAGGCGAAAAGAACCCCGGCGAGGGGAGUGAAAAAGAACCUGAAACCGUGUACGUACAAGCAGUGGGAGCACAGAGCAAUCUGUGUGACUGCGUACCUUUUGUAUAAUGGGUCAGCGACUUAUAUUCUGUAGCAAGGUUAACCGAAUAGGGGAGCCGAAGGGAAACCGAGUCUUAACUGGGCGUUAAGUUGCAGGGUAUAGACCCGAAACCCGGUGAUCUAGCCAUGGGCAGGUUGAAGGUUGGGUAACACUAACUGGAGGACCGAACCGACUAAUGUUGAAAAAUUAGCGGAUGACUUGUGGCUGGGGGUGAAAGGCCAAUCAAACCGGGAGAUAGCUGGUUCUCCCCGAAAGCUAUUUAGGUAGCGCCUCGUGAAUUCAUCUCCGGGGGUAGAGCACUGUUUCGGCAAGGGGGUCAUCCCGACUUACCAACCCGAUGCAAACUGCGAAUACCGGAGAAUGUUAUCACGGGAGACACACGGCGGGUGCUAACGUCCGUCGUGAAGAGGGAAACAACCCAGACCGCCAGCUAAGGUCCCAAAGUCAUGGUUAAGUGGGAAACGAUGUGGGAAGGCCCAGACAGCCAGGAUGUUGGCUUAGAAGCAGCCAUCAUUUAAAGAAAGCGUAAUAGCUCACUGGUCGAGUCGGCCUGCGCGGAAGAUGUAACGGGGCUAAACCAUGCACCGAAGCUGCGGCAGCGACACUGUGUGUUGUUGGGUAGGGGAGCGU